AGAUGUGAGCGUGAUCUGGCUGACAAGGCCCAUGUCACCUUCCUCCCUCACAGCUCUACGCGCAUCCCUCCCAAAACUGUGUGCUCAGUUGGAGAGGACAGCCUCCUGCACAGAGGAGACGGCUCUUCAGUAGCUGCACUACUCUGCUAGAAUCUUCAUCUUUUGUGGUUCAUUUGGAGUACAACAUAGGAUAGUCCACUUACCAGUACUCCAUACACAUCCAAAUGAGGUCUUGCCUGU
ensembl:misc_RNA 7SK 7SK RNA